rnacentral:rRNA from 1 species
AUUGAACGCUGGCGGCAGGCCUAACACAUGCAAGUCGAACGGUAACAGGAAGCAGCUUGCUGCUUUGCCGACGAGUGGCGGACGGGUGAGUAAUGUCUGGGAAACUGCCCGAUGGAGGGGGAUAACUACUGGAAACGGUAGCUAAUACCGCAUAACGUCGCAAGACCAAAGAGGGGGACCUUAGGGCCUCUUGCCAUCGGAUGUGCCCAGAUGGGAUUAGCUAGUAGGUGGGGUAACGGCUCACCUAGGCGACGAUCCCUAGCUGGUCUGAGAGGAUGACCAGCCACACUGGAACUGAGACACGGUCCAGACUCCUACGGGAGGCAGCAGUGGGAAAUAUUGCACAAUGGGCGCAAGCCUGAUGCAGCCAUGCCGCGUGUAUGAAGAAGGCCUUCGGGUUGUAAAGUACUUUCAGCGGGGAGGAAGGGAGUAAAGUUAAUACCUUUGCUCAUUGACGUUACCCGCAGAAGAAGCACCGGCUAACUCCGUGCCAGCAGCCGCGGUAAUACGGAGGGUGCAAGCGU